UUCAUCCAUCUGCCAUCCCAUGCGAUCCCACCUCCCAUGUUGUGCAAUAGGCGAGCGAGAAAAGGAAAGAAAAUAAUUUGUCCGCCCGUCGCUCCAUCCACGCAUGCGACCAGCGCGAGACGCCGCCAUCGCCGCAAGACCGAGAAAGGAAGAAAUUACCAUGAGAAAGGAAGAAAGGUAUUGCCUCCUAUCGUACUUGCGCUACACCUCGUUGGAGAAGGUGCUGAUUUUCUGCGUCGCGGAGUCAGGUGACGACGACGCGUUCACCUCCCUCAUCCCUGGCAACCUCUUCCUGCACAAUGAGGACGGCCGCUACCUCCUCAGCGUCAUCGCCGCUGUCGGCCAUCCUCGGGUGCCUAGAGAGGACGCGGGCAGAGCGGAGGACGCGAGCGAGCAUGAGAUCCGCUCCGCCCGAGCCGGAGUCGCGGCCGCCAUCUCCUGCUCGGCCUCACCAUCACCAUCGCUGCCCUGCUCGCACUCGCCUCCGCCCAAUGACGGAGCCACCCUAGCGGCGGGGUGGGGCGGCCGCCCCAGCUACCAACGGCAUCGUCCAAGAACCCCAAACCCCCUCUAAUUCCUUAGCUUCGGCUACCGGGCUACCGAGGAGAGGCCGCUCCGCCGCAAGAAGACCACUGGCGUCGAGCGAGAGCGAGCCGCAAGCACUGAGUAUCGAAGAAGACGAGGCUCACUCCGCCGCCCGCUGCAAGGAACCAGCCACGCGCUCGCCGCCACCCUCGCCGGCCGCUGCUAGGCGCUAGCGCGGCACACUGCUCAUCCGCUCACUGCCAUCGCUAGGAACGAUGGAGGGAGGAGAAGCGGAACUUGGCAGGGGCAGCAGCUUUGCCAGUUAUUUAAUUUAUUUUGCAAAUUUGAGGCAACAUAUUAUGUUGUUCGUCCGCCUUUUUGACAAUAACUUUUGCGAUUCUAGUUUUUUGGCUAUAUUUUUUACAAUCGCAGUCGAUGAAUACUGUGCGAUUUGUGCCAUAAGCUUUUUCGUUUAUCUUCGUGUUAGAACUCGCCCAGCUAUAAUUUUUUUCUGGCUCCGUCAUUGCCUCCGCCUCUGAAUCUGACCACAAUGUGCGUUGCUCACGACCCGACCACGCGGACAUUUGACACUGCAUAUUCAAGCCCCUGCGAUAUGCCGGCUGACUUGCUAAGAACUGAAAUUAGAGCGAGCGAGGGAGAAAACACGCUGCUGUGUCGGCGGUCAGCACAGCAUGUGCUGUGGGUGCAGUGUGCUAGCUACGUCGCAGAGAAUUUUUGCCCCCUAAUUUGUUCUCUUGGACCAGUGGCCUAGAUUAGAUAAUCCCUUUCUGGUGUGAUAUCCAUUAUCCCGGUGCUGCUUGCCCGCUUUCACACGCGUUCAGACUUCAGAUACGCAAAAUGAUAUUCAGCUAGAUCACCAUUUCAAAUGUGCAGAUUAGGCAAAUAGUAAUGCCAAUAUGCCAGGAUUAGCAGCUGCUCUGCUUGGAAGCGCAAGGAAAGCCUUGUGGUGCUGCUCUGAAAAAUCUGAAUCCUGUCCAACAAAGGCAUCAGGCAUUGCGCAUCUGUCUUCUUCUCCGUGAGCUCAGCUACAAUGAGGUGCAGUUGCCUGCUUCUUACCUUGCAGGUUAGUAAUCCAGACAUGAAGUAUAGACGGAUGGGAAUAAUUGGUGUUUUAAGGAUAGUUUCUACUACUGCUUCCACUAACAUCAAUGCUGCUGUGAACUGUUCAUCAUCUCAGGUUUGUUUUAAGCACAAUGUAAUUUUAAGAGGAAUUUGGUGUUUAGUUGUUCGGAUUGGAAUGCAUGCCGCAGCUUAUGACAUAAAGCUUGCCAUUCUAUUUUUAUAAAAUUUGGUUCCAUACUAUGUGACUUUUUUGUUCAUCAGGGUAU
rnacentral:lncRNA from 1 species